rnacentral:rRNA from 1 species
GACGAACGCUGGCGGCGUGCUUAACACAUGCAAGUCGUACGGUAAGGCCCUUUCGGGGGUACACGAGUGGCGAACGGGUGAGUAACACGUGAGUAACCUGCCCACAACUUUGGGAUAACGCUAGGAAACUGGUGCUAAUACUGGAUAUGUGCUCCUGCUGCAUGGUGGGGGUUGGAAAGCUCCGGCGGUUGUGGAUGGACUCGCGGCCUAUCAGCUUGUUGGUGGGGUAGUGGCCUACCAAGGCGGCGACGGGUAGCCGGCCUGAGAGGGUGACCGGCCACAUUGGGACUGAGAGACGGCCCAGACUGCUACGGGAGGCAGCAGUGGGGAAUAUUGCACAAUGGGCGCAAGCCUGAUGAAGCAACGCCGCGGGCGGGAGGACGGCCUUCGGGUUGUAGACCGCUUUCAGCAGGGACGAAGCUUUUUGUGACGGUACCUGCAGAAGAAGCACCGGCUAACUACGUG